GCCAGGCGUAGUGGUGUGCACCUGUAAUCCCAGCUACUUGGGAGGCUGAGGCAGGAGAAUUGCUUGAACCUGGGAGGCACAGGGUGCAGUGAGCCAAGAUCGGGCCACUGCACUCCAGCCUAGAUGACAGAGCGAGACUUUGUCUCAA
rnacentral:SRP_RNA from 2 species